rnacentral:rRNA from 1 species
GACGGAGGGGGCAAGCGUUGUCCGGAAUCACUGGGCGUAAAGGGCGUGUAGGUGGUCCGCUGCGUCGGCGCUGAAAUCUCCCGGCUUAACCUGGAGGCGCGUGCCGAUACGAGCAGACUUGAGGCAGGGAGAGGGUAGCGGAAUUCCGGGUGGUAGUGGUGGAUAUGCGUAGAUAUCCGGAGGAACGGCCGUGAGCGAAAGCGGAGCUGCC